GGUGAAGCUGGAGGAAGUGAGAGAAAACCCAACCAUCAACGAGAUCCAGAACGACGAGAAACAGUCACGUCCUGAAGAGGAAGUCUCAGUGCAGUUCACUCCCUGGAGGAGCCACCUGGGGGCGCCACAGAGCCAAGAUCAAAACGCUGAGCACAUCUACCACGCCAUCGGAGGACACGGCACCAACCCGGACAUAUCAUCACCAGCAGUGCCAGCCAAUCACAAGCCAGCCAGAGCACAUGACGCCGCUCUGGAGGAUUUUAGCAACUACGACAGGGAUUCGGUUUAUGCUCAAGUCAGCAAGAAGCUGAGCUCCAGUGCUUCACCUCCACCUGUCCACACACCUGCGGAGGUACCGGAGGAGGAGGAGCCUUCACCUCCGCUGCCCGAGAGGGCGGCAGAGAUGGAGGGAUGAUGGAUGAAGAUCGAGAGACGGUGUGAAGAGACAGAAUGAAGGACGCCAGGUCCUCCCGCACGCAUCAUCAACGCCAAAACCUGAAAACUACAUCUGCCAAUCAGAGUGCUGGAACCCUGACACUCAUGACAUCACAGCGUCAACAUCUCAGCUUCAGCGUCUUGAUGUGAGGUUGAAUUUCU